GAUGAACGCUGGCGGCGUGCCUAAUACAUGCAAGUCGAGCGAACGGACGAGAAGCUUGCUUCUCUGAUGUUAGCGGCGGACGGGGGAGUAACACGUGGAUAACCUACCUAUAAGACUGGGAUAACUUCGGGAAACCGUAGCUAAUACCGGAUAAUAUUUUGAACCGCAUGGUUCAAAAGUGAAAGACGGUCUUGCUGUCACUUAUAGAUGGAUCCGCGCUGCAUUAGCUAGUUGGUAAGGUAACGGCUUACCAAGGCAACGAUGCAUAGCCGACCUGAGAGGGUGAUCGGCCACACUGGAACUGAGACACGGUCCAGACUCCUACGGGAGGCGGCAGUAGGGAAUCUUCCGCAAUGGGCGAAAGCCUGACGGAGCAACGCCGCGUGAGUGAUGAAGGUCUUCGGAUCGUAAAACUCUGUUAUUAGGGAAGAACAUAUGUGUAAGUAACUGUGCACAUCUUGACGGUACCUAAUCAGAAAGCCACGGCUAACUACGUG
rnacentral:rRNA from 1 species